UUGCACAGCGAACACCCAGGGAUGCUAACAUGGCUCUCCCUGGUCCACUAUGUCUGUGCUACAGUGACUCUGGUCUUUUCCUCUGCAUUACGAGAGUUUCUGUCUCUCAUACAUGUAUUCAGCUGAUCAGAACAAAC
ensembl:snoRNA